UUCCAGACUCCUACGGGAGGCAGCAGUGAGGAAUAUUGGUCAAUGGGAGGAAUCCUGAACCAGCCAUGCCGCGUGCAGGACGACGGCUCUACGAGUUGUAAACUGCUUUUGUACCGGGGUAAAAUGCCUUACGAGUAGGGUUUUGAAAGUACGGUACGAAUAAGGAUCGGCUAACUCCGUGCCAGCAGCCGCGGUAAUACGUAGGGGGCGAGCGUUAUCCGGAUUUACUGGGUGUAAAGGGAGCGUAGACGGCCAUGCAAGCCUGAUGUGAAAGGUGUGGGCACAACCCGCACACUGCAUUGGGAACUGUAUGGCUAGAGUGUCGGAGGGGCAGGCGGAAUUCCUGGUGUAGCGGUGAAAUGCGUAGAUAUCAGGAGGAACACCGGUGGCGAAGGCGGCCUGCUGGACGACGACUGACGUUGAGGCUCGAGAGCGUGGGGAGCGAACAGGGUUAGAUACCCGUGUA
rnacentral:rRNA from 1 species